CACGUAGGGCGCGAGCGUUGUCCGGAAUUAUUGGGCGUAAAGAGCUCGUAGGCGGCCUGUUGCGUCCGCUGUGAAAGCCCGGGGCUUAACCCCGGGCCUGCAUUCGAUACGGGCAGACUAGAGUUCGGUAGGGGAGUCUGGAAUUCCUGGUGUAGCGGUGAAAUGCGCAGAUAUCGGGAGGAACACCAGUAGCGAAGGCGGCACUCUGGGCCGUGACUGACGCUGAGGAGCGAAAGCGUGGGUAGCAAACAGG
rnacentral:rRNA from 1 species